rnacentral:rRNA from 1 species
AACGCGAAGAACCUUACCAGGACUUGACAUGCAACUGCACCACCCGUAAUGGGGUGUCCCUUCGGGGCGAUUGCACAGGUGCUGCAUGGCUGUCGUCAGCUCGUGUCGUGAGAUGUUGGGUUCAGUCCCGCAACGAGCGCAACCCCUGCCGCUAGUUAGUAUGUCUAGCGGGACCGCCGCGAUCAACGCGGAGGAAGGCGGGGAUGACGUCAAGUCAGCACGGCCCUUACGUCCUGGGCUACACACACGCUACAAUGGUCGGUACAACGGGCUGCCAACCCGCGAGGGGGAGCCAAUCCCAACAAAACCGGCCUCAGUUCAGAUUGUAGGCUGAAACCCGCCUGCAUGAAGGAGGAGUUGCUAGUAACCGUGGGUCAGCACACCACGGUGAAUACGUUCCCGGGUCUGACCACCAAGG